GCUUACACAUGCAAGUCGAGCGGUAACAUUUCUAGCUUGCUAGAAGAUGACGAGCGGCGGACGGGUGAGUAACGCGUAGGAAUCUGCCUAGUAGUGGGGGACAACAUGUGGAAACGCAUGCUAAUACCGCAUACGCCCUACGGGGGAAAGGAGGGGACCUUCGGACCUUUCGCUAUUAGAUGAGCCUGCGUGAGAUUAGCUAGUUGGUGGGGUAAAGGCCUACCAAGGCGACGAUCUCUAGCUGGUCUGAGAGGAUGAUCAGCCACACUGGGACUGAGACACGGCCCAGACUCCUACGGGAGGCAGCAGUGGGGAAUAUUGGACAAUGGGCGCAAGCCUGAUCCAGCCAUGCCGCGUGUGUGAAGAAGGCCUUAGGGUUGUAAAGCACUUUCAGGAGUGAGGAAGGGCGUAUAGUUAAUACCUGUAUGUUUUGACGUUAACUCCAGAAGAAGCACCGGCUAACUCUGUGCCAGCAGCCGCGGUAAUACAGAGGGUGCGAGCGUUAAUCGGAAUUACUGGGCGUAAAGCGCGCGUANGCGGUUUGUUAAGUCGGAUGUGAAAUCCCAGGGCUCAACCUUGGAAUGGCACCCG
rnacentral:rRNA from 1 species